rnacentral:rRNA from 1 species
GCGGUAAUUCCAGCUCCAAUAGCGUAUAUGUAAAUUGUUGCGGUUGAAAAGCUCGUAGUUGGACUUCUGGCGUCCGGUUUCGGUCCGCCUCGAGCGAGCACUGAUCCCGGUCGUCGUUUUUGUCGACGAGGCUCGUCGGACUUCACUGGCUGGCGUUCUCCAGUCGACAGGGUUACUUUGAGGAAAUCAGAGUGCUCAAGGCAAGCGCACGCUCGUGACUUCACUAGCAUGGAAUAACACAGAUGGGCUCUUUUUCGCAACGUUGGUCUGCGUCAAUUGAGCAACGAUCGAUAGAGACGGUCGGGGGCAUUCGUAUUGCGCAGUUAGAGGUGAAAUUCUCCGAUCUGCGCAAGACGCACUAAUGCGAAAGCAGUUGCCAAGGACGUCCUCUUAUGAUCAAGAGCGAAAGUCGGGGGAUCAAAGAUGAUUAGAUACCGUCGUAGUCCCGACCAUAAAUGAUGCCGACUGAGCGUCGGCGACUCGGCCUUCGGCCGUACGUCGGCGCUCUUGAGAGAAAUUAAAGUCUUUGGGCUCCGGGGGUAGUAUGGUCGCAAGUCUGAAACUUGAAGGAAUUGACGGAAGGGCACCACAAGGCGUGGAUGUUGCGGCUUAAUUUGACUCAACACGGGGAAGCUUACUAGGUUUGGACACUUGAAUGAGGGACAUAUUGAAGCUCUUACCUUUUUUUGUGGAUGGUGGUGCAUGGUCGUUCUCAGCCCGUGGGUUGACCUGUCAGGUUUACUCCGGUAACGCGCGAGACCUCGGUUUGCUAAAUAGACGCGGCUGUCUCGGCACCCGCGCUCUUCUUAGAGAGAGUCUCGACGAGAGUCGAGGGAAGUCGAGGCAAUAACAGAUCUGUGAUGCCCUUAGUUAUCCUAGGUCGCACGCGCCAAACAAUGUCGCUUACAACGAGUUCCUAGGCCGACAGGCCCGGGCAAUCUUGCAGAGAGCUACGUGACUGGGCUAGACUCUUGUAAUUGUUGGUCUUCAACGAGGAAUGCCUAGUAAUCGCAGGUCAUCAUCCUGCGAUGAUUAGGUCCCUGCCCUUUGUACACACCGCCCGUCGCUCCAUCCGUGGCAUGCGCCGGUGAAGAGGGGGAGGCAGCGUCAUCCGGUUAACGUCGGCUUGUACGUGGAACCCCUCUGAACCUUCGCACGUAGAGGAAGGAGAAGUCGUAACAAGGUUUUCGUAGGUGAACCUGCGAAAGGAUCAUUA